rnacentral:tRNA from 1 species
GAAGAAUCACAGCUCAGAGGUAGAGCACCUGCUUGGCAUGCAGAAUGUCCCAGGUUCAACCCCUGGCAUCUUCU